AUCCAGAUGACGAGUCACAAAUAGGACGAAAUGCACGUUAUUCUGGAU
rnacentral:hammerhead_ribozyme from 1 species